rnacentral:rRNA from 1 species
UGAGGAAUAUUGGUCAAUGGGCGGAAGCCUGAACCAGCCAUGCCGCGUGAAGGAAGAAGGUCCUAUGGAUUUUAAACUUCUUUUGUCGGAGAGCAAUAAGGGUCUCGCGAGAUCCGAUGAGAGUAUCCGACGAAUAAGCAUCGGCUAACUCCGUGCCAGCAGCCGCGGUAAUACGGAGGAUGCGAGCGUUAUCCGGAUUUAUUGGGUUUAAAGGGUGCGCAGGCGGCGCGCCAAGUCAGCGGUCAAAGUUCCGGGCUCAACCCGGUGUCGCCGUUGAAACUGGCGUGCUCGAGUGCGUGCGAGGAAGGCGGAAUGCGUUGUGUAGCGGUGAAAUGCAUAGAUAUGACGCAGAACUCCGAUUGCGAAGGCAGCUUUCCAGCGCGCUACUGACGCUGAGGCACGAAAGCGUGGGGA